rnacentral:rRNA from 1 species
UACGUAGGGUGCGAGCGUAAUCGGAAUUACUGGGCGUAAAGCGUGCGCAGGCGGCGCGUUAAGACAGGUGUGAAAGCCCCGAGCUUAACUUGGGAAUUGCGCUUGUGACUGGCGUGCUGGAGUGUGGCAGAGGGAGGUGGAAUUCCACGUGUAGCAGUGAAAUGCGUAGAGAUGUGGAGGAACACCGAUGGCGAAGGCAGCCUCCUGGGCCAGCACUGACGCUCAUGCACGAAAGCGUGGGGAGCAAACAGG